CCUACGGGUGGCAGCAGUGGGGAAUAUUGCGCAAUGGGCGAAAGCCUGACGCAGCGACGCCGCGUGAGGGAUGGAGGUCUUCGGAUCGUAAACCUCUGUCAGCAGGGAAGAACGGUCACUGUGCUAAUCAGCAGUGAAUUGACGGUACCUGCAAAGGAAGCACCGGCUAACUCCGUGCCAGCAGCCGCGGUAAUACGGAGGGUGCGAGCGUUAAUCGGAAUUACUGGGCGUAAAGCGCGCGGAGGCGGUAUGGCAAGUCAAGGGUGAAAUCCCCGCGCUCAACGUGGGAACUGCCUUUGAAACUGGGAGACUGGAGUGUGUGAGAGGAUAGUGGAAUUCCUGGUGUAGGAGUGAAAUCCGUAGAUAUCGGGAGGAACAUCAGUGGCGAAGGCGACUAUCUGGCACAUAACUGACGCUGAGGAGCGAAAGCGUGGGUAGCAAACAGGAUUAGAUACCCCUGUAGUC
rnacentral:rRNA from 1 species